CCCUUUGUGAUGUAGUUGGUUAUCGCAUCAGCCUCACACAUUGGUGGUCCUCGGUUGGAGCCCGGGCGGAAUCA